UACGGGGGGGGCAAGCGUUGUUCGGAAUCACUGGGCGUAAAGCGCACGUAGGCGGCUUUCUAAGUCAGGGGUGAAAUCCUGGAGCUCAACUCCAGAACUGCCUUUGAUACUGGAGAGCUCGAGUCCGGAAGAGGUGAGUGGAACUCCGAGUGUAGAGGUGAAAUUCGUAGAUAUUCGGAAGAACACCAGUGGCGAAGGCGGCUCACUGGUCCGGUACUGACGCUGAUGUGCGAAAGCGUGGGGAGCAAACAGGAGUUAGAAACCCUU
rnacentral:rRNA from 1 species